AGCUUUGCAAAGUGGCAGUAUCGUAGCCAAUGAGGUUUAUCCGAGGCGCGAUUAUUGCUAAUUGAAACAUAUAUCAAUUCUUUUUUUUUUUUAACGUUCUUAGUUUAUUAAUCCUCUCAUGAAAAAUCUGCACAAUCACCAAAGAU